UACGAAGGGGGCUAGCGUUGCUCGGAAUUACUGGGCGUAAAGCGCACGUAGGCGGUCUUUUAAGUCGGGGGUGAAAUCCUGGAGCUCAACUCCAGAACUGCCUUCGAUACUGGAAGACUCGAGUCCGGGAGAGGUGAGUGGAACUGCGAGUGUAGAGGUGAAAUUCGUAGAUAUUCGGAGGAACACCAGUGGCGAAGGCGGCUCACUGGCUCGGUACUGACGCUGAGGUGCGAAAGCGUGGGGAGCAAACAGG
rnacentral:rRNA from 1 species